rnacentral:lncRNA from 1 species
ACUUCAGGAGGGGAAGAGAGGAAGUGCGCUGGGCAAAGAGGAAACGAUGUCACAGGACACACUUUUGCUGUCUUUGCUGCUGUCGCCUAAGAGGUGGACACAGCUCCCGAGGACUUACGGUGAAAAAAGUGGGGAGGAAAUGGCCUUGAAGCUAGAAGCCAAGCCAGUCUCCUCACCUGAAAAAUGGGAAGAGCAAAAUAUCCUACCCUAGAGGGUUGCUGUGAGAGCCGAAAGCGUCUAUCCACGUGAAGCACAUGGGACAGAGCCUGGCACAAAGAAAAUGCUUCCCAGCUCCAUCAGCCCACCGCCCCCUCUGGCCUUCCCUCAAGAGCAGCCACUGGGCCUUGGUUGCCAUGGAGACAGUUUCCCUCAGAGGCUUUGCCUCCCAUCUUCUUUUCUUUUCUUUUCUUUUUUCUUUUUUUUUAAUUUGAGACAAGAUCUCGCUUUGUCACCCGGCCU